GAUGAACGCUGGCGGCGUGCUUAACACAUGCAAGUCGAACGGAAACGCCCUGCUUUUUUGGUGUGCUCGAGUGGCGAACGGGUGAGUAACACGUGAGUAACCUGCCCUUGUCUUUGGGAGAACUUCAGGAAACUGGGGUUAAUACCAGAUAGGAUCCCCCCUUGCAUGGUGGGGGGUGGAAAGUUUGUGCGGUGGGGGAUGGACUCGCGGGUUAUCAGCUUGUUGGUGGGGUAGUGGCUGACCAAGGGUUUGCAGGGUAGCCGGCCUGGGAGGGUGAACGGGCACAUUGGGACUGAGAUACGGACCAGACUCCUACGUGAGGCAGCGGUGGGGAAUAUUACACAAUCGGCGGAAGCCUGAUGCGGCGACGCCGCGUGCGGGAUGACGGCCUUCUGGUUGUAAACCGCUUUCGCCUGUGACGAAGCGUGAGUGACGGUAAUGGAAAAAGAAGCACCGGCUAACUACGUG
rnacentral:rRNA from 1 species